CACCCGCGCCUUGAGUGGUGGUCGUUAUUACUGAGCCUAAAGCGUCCGCAGCCGGCUUCGUAAAUCCUUGGGUAAAUCGGGCCGCUCAACGGUUCGCCCUCCGAGGACACUGCGAGGCUUGGGACCGGGUGAGGCGAGAGGUACUCCCGGGGUAGGGGUAAAAUCCUGUAAUCCUGGGAGGACUACCGGUUGCGAAGGCGUCUCGCUAGAACGGAUCCGACGGUAAGGGACGAAGGCCUGGGGCGCAAACGGGAUUAGAUACCCCGGUAGUCCAGGCUGUAAACGCUGCGAGCUUGGUGUUGGGGCUCCUACGAGGGGUCCCAGUGCCGUAGCGAAGGUGUUAAGCUCGCCGCUUGGGGAGUACGGCCGCAAGG
rnacentral:rRNA from 1 species